rnacentral:sRNA from 1 species
UGUUGGCAAAUUUAAUGCCACUAUAUUUAAGGCUCUGCAUUUGUGUCUCUGCCUAGGUCCCUCCUGUCUCAUCCAUUAAAUUUUAAGAAUCUCACAGGACAACACACUUACUCCUAUGCCUCCUUCACCACUUUCUAUUUUUCUUUUCUUCAUACCCCCACUCACGUUAAUCACUACUUCUUAUGCCCUUUUCCUUCUUCUUUAUCAGUGUUCUUUCUGCUCACUGAUGCAUAUGCACGUUCAAGUUAAGUUGCCAUGUGGGGUGUAAGUUUUCUUUGUAACUUAGAUACAUGUUUCAUUAACGAGUUUAAGGUUGUUUUGUUUCUUCAGACAGAAAGUGCAGGAACUUGAUGACUCUCUAGGAUAUUGGUGUCUCAAACAUAUAAUUAAGGGCCUGAGAUAUUGGUACGGUUCAAUCAGAAGGCAGUGCUUUAUGAUUCUAAAGCUCUCUUUGUUUGAUUGAGCCGUGCCAAUAUCACAUGUAACUUUGACCCUCGCUUGAAGCAAUCGGCAUGCAGCAGCAUAUUCAAGAUGUCUCGGGAUCUUCUAAUUUGGUGUAGGAAGCAACCAUGGUUCGAUCUUAAGGAUGUUUUUUCAACAUGUCUGAGAAGUAAUGAAUUUGUUGCAGUGGAUAAGAAAGAAAUGAAAUUGGUAAGGUAGCUGGAAUUGGUUUUGAUAUUUCUCUUUUCUUUUUUGGGUGGUAGGGACUUAAUUAACGUGACCAAGAUAAAUCUAUCUUUCACGUUUAGUUUGCUUCUAUUUAAAUUUGCUUCUAUUUAAAGCUUCAUCUCUUUUUUGACAAUCUAGUAUUAUAGUAGGUGUCUAGGUGACAAGAUCCGACCUUUCUCUUUCUUUUAUUAUUAUUAUCAAACCACUUUCCAGGUAAUUCAUGUUUUUGGAAAUAUUUCUCUAUCAGAACCUUCCUUAAUUAAAACUAUUGUAAUUUGGUGGUCCAAAAUCCAUCAGUUUAUAACUG